GGGGAAUAUUGGACAAUGGGGGAAACCCUGAUCCAGCAACGCCGCGUGGAGGAUGAAGGUCUUCGGAUUGUAAACUCCUGUUAGGGGGGACGAAGGGAUGUCGGUGAACAGCCGGCAAACUUGACGGUACCCCCAGAGGAAGCCCCGGCUAACUCUGUGCCAGCAGCCGCGGUAAUACAGAGGGGGCAAGCGUUAUUCGGAAUUAUUGGGCGUAAAGGGCGCGUAGGCGGCCUUGUAAGUCUUGGGUGAAAUCCCUCAGCUCAACUGAGGAACUGCCUCGGAAACUGCAAGGCUUGAGGCCGGGAGAGGGUAGUGGAAUUCCCAGUGUAGCGGUGAAAUGCGUAGAUAUUGGGAGGAACACCGGUGGCGAAGGCGGCUACCUGGACCGGUUCUGACGCUGAUGCGCGAAAGCGUGGGUAGCAAAC
rnacentral:rRNA from 1 species